AGUGGGGAAUAUUGCGCAAUGGGGGAAACCCUGACGCAGCCAUGCCGCGUGUGUGAAGAAGGCCUUAGGGUUGUAAAGCACUUUCAAUUGGGAGGAAAAGCUUGUCCUUAAUACGGGCAAGCCCUGACGUUACCUUUAGAAGAAGCACCGGCUAACUCCGUGCCAGCAGCCGCGGUAAUACGGAGGGUGCGAGCGUUAAUCGGAAUUACUGGGCGUAAAGCGCGCGUAGGCGGUGAUUUAAGUCAGAUGUGAAAGCCCCGGGCUCAACCUGGGAACUGCAUUUGAUACUGGGUCACUAGAGUACGAGAGAGGGGGGUAGAAUUCCACGUGUAGCGGUGAAAUGCGUAGAUAUGUGGAGGAAUACCAGUGGCGAAGGCGGCCCCCUGGCUUGAUACUGACGCUGAGGUGCGAAAGCGUGGGGAGCAAA
rnacentral:rRNA from 1 species